ensembl:lncRNA
UUUGUCUCUUCAAAAACUAGCUUUAUUUAAAAGAAUCUAAAGCAUAACACUAACAGGAAACAAAUUUACAAUACAUAUUGUUCAAGAAAGCCUGCCAUACAUAAUUUCAACUAAUAGUAGGUCUAUAUACUGGUGAAUAACAUUCUUUAUACAACACACAAAUGACAUUUAGUAUGAUCCCUGAAAAGAACAGCCAACAAUAACACAGACUUUUGAUAGAACCUCUACACAUCUUACUACUUACCUAUAGAAUAAAAAACUAAAAUGUGGAAGAUAAGUUAAACUCCAAUUUUAAAAUUCUAGCAGAUAUUUAAGGAAAAAUAAUGAGAAGGAAAUAGUAUAUUAAAAAGAAAAAUGAAAACUGGCUUACCAUUAUUUACAGUAAUUAUUAAAAAGUAUUCAGAAUUGAGAAUUAUUUCUUUACUAGUUGGAAGCCAAACUGCCCAUUAUCUACUGCAUUCAGUUACCAAGCCAAUUUUAUUUCUCUGAAAACUGUAACCUGCAUGUUAACUACAUAAAGAAAAUAAUUUGGAGGUAACCUAGUCAUUUUAUACUUCAUUCAAAUUUUUCUACAAAGCAAUUCAUGAAUCAUUUAAUAUGAAUACUUCUUUAAAACUCUAUGAUUCAAAUAGAAAUAGAUCCAGUUCUAAAAGACUGUAUAUCAAGUGCCAGAAAAAAAUAAAAAAUAAAACUAAAAUACAAAAAAAAAAAAAAACCAUGAAAACACUGAGCAUUCAAAUAAAAUAUAAUGGGAUUAUGACACAGUAUGGCAUCUGGAAUUUUUUUCUAAGAACUGAAUCAGAUUCAUUGCUAUGUCAGUUGUAUCAGUAGCUGGCAAUCAAAUGUAUGCUAUAUACCAAAACCACCAUGCCAAAAAUGACAACAUCGGUAGACAUUAACCUUGUAAUAUACAUCACUGAUAUAGUAAAAUCUUAUCAAUUCAGGAUAGUUUAAAUUGAUAGAAGUCUGAAAUUUUAAAUAUUUUUAAAAGAUAUGCAGUUUAAGCACUCACAAGCAUUUUUUUUUCUGUUAAGUGUGUAAUUUCAAAUAUGCAAAUCUGCAAGUAUUAUCUAUUACAAUUCUUUUGGGUACUUGGUUUGAUGACAAAAGAAUGCUUUUAAACUAGUAUUCUGAAAUAAACGCUUAUAAAAAGCUAAAAUUUUUUUUAAGAUUAAACAUUU